rnacentral:ncRNA from 2 species
GUUCGCAAAAGUCUGGAAAAUACCUUCAGGGAGGAAACAGGUGCAAAUCCUGUGCUGACCCGCAACUGUAAUCCAAACAUUCGUUUGGUGAGCCAGAUCUUCCCCGUAAAGUAUUC